CUGGCCAACAUGGUGAAACCCCAUCUCUACUGAAAAUAUAAAAAUUAGCUGGAUGUGGUGGCGCAUGCCUGUAAUCCCAGCUAGUCGGGAGGCUGAGGCAGGAGAAUCCCUUAAACCAGGGAGUUGGAUGUUGCAGUGAGCUGAGAUUGCGCCACAGCUCUCUAGCCUGGCGACAGAGCGAGCCUCCAUCUCAAAACAACAACAACAGCAACAACAAAAACCAAAAGAAAUGAGGUUUAAUUGACUCACAGUUCCACAGGUUGUACAAGAGGUGUGACUGGGGAGGCCUCAGGAAACUUACAAUCAUGGUGGAAGGAUGAAGGGGAAGCAAGCACGUCUUCACAUGGCAGUAGGCGGGAGAGUGAGUGAAGGGAGAAGUGCUACACACUUUCAAACAACCAGAUAUCAUGAAAACUCACGAUCACAAGAACAGCAAAAGGGAUAUCCACCCAUGAUCUAAUCAUCUCCCACCAGCUCCCUCUCCCAACGUUGGGAAUUACAGUUCAACAUGCGAUUUGGUGGGGACACAGAGCCAAACCAUAUCACACCCCAUUCAAAGCUAUGAGGUUAUAAAAUGGUCCUUCUCCUGUCACUCAGCUGACUGUAAAUUCAUGCUGGCACAUCCACACCACGGCAGACAAAGACACUGCUUGGGAGUUCUGUUCUGUCAUCAAUGGAGCUGUGAUGACCGUGGAUGUCACUGGUAGUGGCCAACAUUUCUGCAGCUCCUUCUCAGUUACAUCCUCAACACAAACUCCUCACCAG
rnacentral:lncRNA from 1 species